AUCAUCCUUGUCUUUGGGGAGCAUAGUGUUCAAUGACCGUAUAGUGAGGGCACUGAUGCUGAAACCAUAAACAAAAAUAUAACCGCAUCCGUUAGGUUUGCCAUACGGUGACUUUGACGGGAUGCAAUUUUUGCAAGC
rnacentral:ncRNA from 2 species